UACGUAGGGGGCAAGCGUUAUCCGGAUUUAUUGGGCGUAAAGCGUGCGUAGGCGGUUUAUUAAGUCCAGAAUUAAAGCCCGAAGCUUAACUUCGGUUCGUUCUGGAUACUGGUAGGCUAGAGUAUGGUAGAGGCAAACGGAAUUCCUAGUGUAGCGGUGAAAUGCGUAGAUAUUAGGAGGAACACCAGUGGCGAAGGCGGUUUGCUGGGCAAUUACUGACGCUGAGGUACGAAAGCGUGGGUAGCAAAUA
rnacentral:rRNA from 1 species